rnacentral:rRNA from 1 species
UACAGAGGUCCCAAGCGUUGUUCGGAUUUACUGGGCGUAAAGGGCGCGUAGGCGGCCUAGCAAGUCACUUGUGAAAUCUCCGGGCUUAACUCGGAACUGCCAAGUGAAACUGCUGGGCUAGAGUGCAGAAGGGGCAAUCGGAAUUCUUGGUGUAGCGGUGAAAUGCGUAGAUAUCAAGAGGAACACCUGAGGUGAAGACGGGUUGCUGGGCUGACACUGACGCUGAGGCGCGAAAGCCAGGGGAGCAAACGGG